rnacentral:rRNA from 1 species
UACAGAGGGGGCAAGCGUUGUCCGGAAUUACUGGGCGUAAAGGGCGCGUAGGCGGUACUUCAAGUCAGGCGUGAAAGCCCCGGGCUCAACCUGGGAACCGCGCUUGAGACUGGAGAACUAGAGUUCGGGAGAGGAUGGUGGAAUUCCCAGUGUAGAGGUGAAAUUCGUAGAUAUUGGGAAGAACACCGAUGGCGAAGGCAGCCAUCUGGACCGACACUGACGCUGAGGCGCGAAAGCGUGGGGAGCAAACAGG